GGGAGAGUUUGAGAGAAUGUAAAAUGUUCAGUAUGGACGCUGGAAAAUGGAUUUUAAACCAGGCUGGCACCAUCUGAGACGUCUGCAGAUGGAGUCCCAGAACAUACCCAGUAUUACAGGCCUGAUCUUUACGAGCCACGCUGCACCUGUCCAUUGUCAGCCAUGUAAGGAAGACCGGACCACAACCCCCCCCUCCUCCUCCUCCGAGAGGCCCAUCACCCUGAACGUCUUUUUCACACCAUCUUUUCUUGUUGAUUUGUACAGUGAUGUUGUGCUUUACAGUGGCUCUUUUAUUUCUUUAUUUUCCUGACAGCAGCAGGACUGAAGGAUAACAAUGUUCCCUCUUUUUUACCUGAACGGCUCUUGAAAAGACAACGAGACUUCAAGCAGUGUUCAACGCUGUGAAACCAGACAGUUUGAACUCAGUGGGUGGUUCAAGUGCAGCGCACAGUGAUUAUCAGCCUCUGCAGGUAUAAAACUGCUGCUGGAUCUAAGAGGCAUACGUUUGAAUGUGUAGAAUACAGGUUUUAAGGAGUGUUUAAAGUGAAUGCAAAGGACAUUUUAAAGGUGGCACAAAUGCGUACAAAAUCAGUGGAAACAUGCAAAUGGAUGUUUAAAAUACUGAAUCCUAAAGAAAACAUUCCAGCUUUUCCCACAGCUGUAUGUCUACUCCAUGAAUGUACAGAGACGAGAGGAAGAAGAGAAAAAAGCACAAAUAAUUGCGGCAAACAUUUACUUAGAUGAGAAGGUAGCAGUACUGGGACUCUGCAGCCAUGCUAAAUGCUAACAUCAGUUUGCAAACAUGGCGAUGUUUAGCAGUUCUAGUGUUUACCAUGUUCACCAUCUUAGUUCAGCAUGUUAGCAUGCUAACAAAUGCUGAUUAGCACCAAGAACAGCUGAGGCUGGUGGGAAUGUUAACAAGUGUUUGGUCAUAAACCAAAGUAUUACUGGGCAAAUCGAAUUUUAUCCUCAGCCUUUUACAGAGCAGUUUAACUAACUAGCAUUUUAACAUUAGCGAGAUGGGAACAAAAUAGAGUAGGAUCCAACUUAAUGCUAACAGUAAAUGUUAGCUUAUGUGGAUUAACGAUCCGCUUGUUGCAUAAAGUGAUAUGCAUAUAUGGGACUCCCUAAAAACUUGUAUUUGACCCGGGGACGGUGUCUUACGUCCUGCGUCACACAGUGUCGUGCGCCUGAUGCGCGUUCUCGUCGGCUCGCAUUGGGUCAUCUCAUCACUUUUUAGAUGAGCUAGCAAAACCUAAAACUUAAAAGGUUGUUUAUUAACCUAAUCUUUACCUGAACCACAACAUUAAACCUACAAGAGACCUCACGCCUAACUGUAACUUCAAACAGAGAUGAUAUUUUAUUUUUAGUGAUCAUCGAUUUAUGAAGAUACACUUUUGCUGCUUGUACUGCUGGAACGGCUGCAACUAGACUUCCCUGCAGAUUUUCAAAUGACUUUUACCUGACUGUUGAUAAAUUCUCAAACUGACCAUCAUAACGUUAUAUUAGAAAAUAUGUACAACUAAAUAGUGUUAAAAUAUAUUGACAUUUAGACAAAAUUAUGUCCAACAACAACAAUCUCCUCAGAUGGGGGGGUCCGUCUAUCAGUCUUACAAGGCAGACUAUCAAAAUAUGCAAAUUAUAGGAAAACAUGAAUAGUGUAUUCUGUAUGCCUUCAUACUUGACAUGCAUCAAAUAAACUGAUGUCUUGCUGUAUGUGUUCACGGAGCUCGCUGAAGCGUGCACUGCUACGUCCUGCAAACCCAUCCGGGUGGAGUACCGAGUUGUUAGGGAGUCCCAUGUGCAGUAUAUAUAGCGAUAUGUUCGUAACCACAGUUUACCUCCGCCUACCUCCUCAUCCUGAGCGAGAAGGACUUAAAAAAUAUGUCCUUUAAAUCUUUCUUUUAAGUGUUAGUUUUGAAGGUAUAGUAGGUAUAGAGUUUAGGCACAAGUGAACAGAAAUCAGGCGCUUCAGGUAACGUCAGACCGUUCAGCCUUGUAAUUAUUUAUUUCAACACUCUACAAGAAGCUCAUUUUAGCACAUUUUGGCUGUCAUGGAAGGUCAUGGGUUUGAAUGGUGGGAAGUAUGUAUAAUUAAUAUUCAUGCCAUAUAUCCAUGAGAUAUAUAUUGAGAUAUCCUGUAUACUAUAUACUGUAUGUAAUUUCCCUGUAUCACAUUUUUGUAUGGGAUGCACGAGUUAAGUAUCUCAAGUUACAAUGGUAAAAAACACUGCACGUUUUGGAAGCUUCAGAAGAUUGAUUUUAUGAUAAUUUCAGCCCAGAGAUGCUUUUGGGAAGCAGUUCUGUUCCUCUGACCACUGUGAUGUAGAAUUAAUGGAACAAUCUGAAGGUUACAUGUUAACCCGCGCAUUCUCCCGUUUCAUGCUGUGCACUUAUGUUCCCGUCUUGCUUCUGGAGAAAUAUUUGUCUGGUGUGGCCUUAAAAUAGCAAUGCAAAUGACGCGUUUUUGCAUCACCGCUGGUGAUAAGCAUGACGGGCCGUCGAUGGGUCGCCUUAACGAUAUGUAGCAUCCCAAAUCCCCUCUCAGCUGCGCUAAUCUGAUGUGAGAAGAGGGAGGGAAGGGGGGAGAGGGGGGGCUGUUAACCCAAAGACAAACCAGGAAUACUCAGGGAGCUGUCUAAGUUUUCCAAUGCCUGCUGGGAUAUGUAGUCCCUUCAGCUCUUCUUCCAAGGCCCUUUUGGUGCACCCAAAAGGGUCCGACUGCAGACUUCAGGCUCGGGGACUUCAGGUCUGUGAGCCAAAAGGAAGAGAGUCUGGUCCCUAGAUUUUGAUUGAUUGAUUGAUUUGUUUCCUACACCAUAUGGGUUCACAAGACAGUAGACCACCAGGGUGGCCACAUGACAAAUUAUAAUAUGUAUAUUUCAAAACAUUACAUUUCCAUGACAGAAAUGUCCCAUUAUGAUGGAUACAGUGUUCUCUGUCUUAGCUGUCUUACAACUCAACAUGUUCUGAGCUUUGGCUUUUCCCAAAUCUCCUCCUUCCAUUGUCCCUUAUGGAUGUUUAGCAGGUUUUGUUUACCUAUACUUAUAUCACACUGCAAAUUACUCCUGAAAAUAGAUAAUAACUUGAACUAGAUUCAGCAAUGUUCACAGAGGUUUAUAGCAUUUACACAUUGUUGUUUAUCAGGUAACAGCCAAGUGCACCAACAUGCAUUUAAGUUUAUAUAUCUCAAAAUAUUGUAUAAUGUGUGUAUAAUGUGUAUGUAUUUAAAACUGAAGUGGAUAGGCUUCAUACAUCAAAAUGUUGAUGUAAUGAAACAUGAAUGCUUACUUUUGAUAUAAAUACUUCCUAUAAACAGAUUUUUGUCAGCAUACAUGCUUUUUCUAUUCAUUAUCCCUGUGGGCUACAUAUUUGUAGUUUGUAUUGUUUAUUUUAUUUAUUAAAUAAUGUUUCACAAUGCUUUAAUCAUACGUAAGGUAUGAACAAAUAAGAAUUACAUUUGCCAAAUAAAUGUUUAUGUUGAACUAUGAGUAUAUAUUCAAACAGAUUGAUAAGACAUGUAUGCCUACAUACAUGUUCUGCUAUGUUAUUAGUAAACAUUAUUGUAUAGUGUCUGUAAUAUGCAACAUGUAAUAUACUCCACCAUCAGUUCUGUUUUUAAAAGGCUCUGCUUUCUUUACUUCCAUGCUCACAUUUUUUGUAACAUUUCCAACAAAAUAAAACAACCUUUUUUGUCA